UCUCCGUAGGUGAACCUGCGGAGGGAUCAUUACUGAGCGAGGGUUUAACCGCCCGACCUCCAACCCCCUGUCUUCCGACUCUGUUGCCUCGGGGGCGACCCGGCCCUCUGGGCGUCGGGGCCCCCGGUGGCUCACACCUCAACUCUUGCAUCUGUGCGUCUGAGUAACAUAUUGAAUCAAUCAAAACUUUCAACAACGGAUCUCUUGGUUCUGGCAUCGAUGAAGAACGCAGC
rnacentral:misc_RNA from 1 species